rnacentral:rRNA from 1 species
GACGAACCGAGCGAACGUUGUUCGGAAUCACUGGGCUUAAAGGGCGCGUAGGCGGGCAAUCAAGUCAGGGGUGAAAGCCCACGGCUCAACCGUGGAAGUGCCUUUGAUACUGAUAGCCUCGAGGGAGAUAGGGGCGUGCGGAACUUCCGGUGGAGCGGUGAAAUGCGUAGAUAUCGGAAGGAACACCGAUGGCGAAAGCAGCGCGCUGGAUCUCUUCUGACGCUGAGGCGCGAAAGCCAGGGGAGCAAACGGG